GUUUAAUUAUACUUGCUUUGUGCGCAUGUCUUCGGAAACUAUUAUCUAUAACUUGCGGGGUUGCCUAAGACCAUUUUGAGGCCCUCUCCUAGACAGAAGCCACCUGUCAACGUUGUUGGAAGCGUACUCCCAAACUGUGACCAAUUCUGCACAAGCCGCCGAAACUGUGAUACAACAAGAUGAGUCUGAACAUGCAAGUUGUCUGUGUGGUGGCGAUCAUCGUAGGACUGAUGUUCAGCGUCAAACUCAUCACUAUGGGGAUGGUGUAAACAGGGAGUCAUCUAGAUGAUUGACAGCAAAAGGGGACGAUGUUUCCGCCAUUUGUGAGGCACCUGUCUCUUCACAACCCCAUCAACAAGUGAAAACAACAGAUCUGACUACCGGCUUUCUGACCAGAAUGCCACAACACAGGAACAUCUCCGUAUUUUCCAGUGUCUAGGAAUGGUAACUUUCUGCCCUGUGCACAAAUAAGAAGUAUCGCUAGGAGAAAAAUGAAUAUAAGAGCUCAAGUCUGAGUUGAACAACUGACAACCUGCAGUCUUGUCUGAUUUGUUAAGGGAGAGUACUUGCUGAUGUCGGUACAAUCAUUGCUGUCUCUCAGCUUUUUGGCUUCUAUUGUUGGUCUAUAUGUAUACUUUUCUACAUUGAUAAACCCACAUUUAUCGUUACUCUUUAAUCCUAGGUGAAUUACUUACAGAUAGACUGGAAUUACAAUCUGGGCUAGCAGAAUCUAGGAGAAUUGUUCUAGGACAGAUUGGAAUUCCAAUAUUCAGAUCCCAGACUUAGAUUCCAAUCUGUCCAAAGCCAUAUUGGAAUUCUAAUUUGUUCUAAGGGAAUCUGAAAUUGUCCUAGGGCAAAUCGGAAUACCUAUCUCCCUUAGGACAAUUCCACAUUCCAAUCUCCACUGUCAUAUAGAGUUUUUAACAGCACCAUGCAAUAUAUACCGUCCGCGGAGAUUUUAAUUGUUAGAUGACGGAAAAAUUAGAUAAUUUCUUGUAACAAUUCGGUACCUAUCAUUCAUAUUGAAGUGUAUUAUUGGAAUAUAUAAUUUUGACCAAUAAAGAGUUCCCUUCUUGUUCGGU